GGAGGAUCACUUAAGCCCAGGAGUUGGAGGAGCUAUGAUGGUGCCACUCUGUGACAGAAUGAGACCAUGUCUCUCUUAAAAAAAAAAAAAUGGCCUAAGUAAUUGUUAACGGGCAGCAGAUUAUUCACUAUUUCUCUUUGCUCUAUAAUAUUUCUUAGCAACUUUGGAUUCAAAAGCUGUGAUGUCUCUGUCAAUUCCGUGUUGUCUCUCCCAUCCUUUUAAAGGGGGUAUUUAUAUGUGCACCACAGUAAAUCAGUAUCAGUGAUAUUCUUUAACUUCUUACCCUCUUCAGUUGUUCAUAUUUAUGUUUCAGUAUCCCACUGCAACUAAUUUUAAGUCUUAUUUUUUGCCGGGCGUGGUGGCUCAUGCCUGUAAUCCCAGCACUUUGGAAGGUUGAGGUGGGUGGAUCACUUGAGGUCAGGAGCUCGAGAUCAGCCUGGCCAACAUGGUGAAACCCUGACUCUACUAAAAAUACAAAAAUUAGCCAGGCAUGGUGGUGCGCACCUGUAAUCCCAGCUACUCGGGAAGCUGAGACACAAGAAUCACUUGAACCCAGGAGGCGGAGGUUGCAGUGAGUCAAGAUCACACCACUGCACUCCAGCCCGGGCAACAGACUGAGACCCUGUCUCCAAAAAAUAAAUAAAUAAAUAAAUAAAUAAAUAAAUAAAUAAAUAAAUAAAUAAAAUAAAUCUUAAUUUUUGAACUGCACAUAUACAUAUGAGACACUGUGGAAAAGUUUGGCAGUUCCUCAGCAUAUUAGAUACAGAAUUAUUAUAUGAUCUGGCAUUUCAUCUCCUAAGUCUACACCCAGAAGAAGUGAAACAGGGACUCAUAUACUUGCGUGCCUGUGUUCAUGGCCGCCUCUGUGGAAACAACCCAGGUGUCUGCCAGCAGAUGAAUGCAUCCACAAAGUGUGGUAUACACACAAACACACAUACACGCUGAAACAUGCGAUAACAUGAUGGGCAAAUACUCUGAUUCUACGUAUCUGGGUGCCCAGAAUAGACAAACUGAUAGAGGAAGACAGUAGAGUAAGCGCUACUAGGGAUGGGGAAUUAGUGUUGAGUGGAUCCCGAGUUUCUGUUGGGUGUCAUGAAAAGUUCUGGAGAUGGAUACUGGUGGUGGUUGUGCACCUUUUUGAAUGUUAUUUAAUGCUACUGAAUUGUACCUUCAUAGUGGUUAAAAGGUAAGUUUUUAUAUGUUCUGUAUAUUUUACAUAAUACGCAGAUUCAUAUCUAUAAAAAUAUACAUACUAUCGAAUAUGCUUUAAAUUUUGCUACUUAACAUUAUGUGGAGAACAAUAACUUCAUACUGCUCGAGUUUGACAAUGUAUAUAAAUUAAGUUAGCAGAAACCCAGGCUUCUGUGAAAUUCUCAAAGCCUUUUUGACGCCUCUUGUAUAAAAGUCUUCCGAUGUUACCACUCCAGGCCUUGCUGAAAUGUUUUCC
rnacentral:lncRNA from 10 species